rnacentral:rRNA from 1 species
UACGGAAGGGGCAAGCGUUGUUCGGAAUCAUUGGGCGUAAAGGGCGCGUAGGUGGUUCUGUAUGUCUACCGUGAAAGCCCCCGGCUCAACCGGGGAGGGUCGUCGGGGACCGCACCGCUUGAGGGCGGUAGGGGCUGGUGGAAUGCCUGGUGUAGUGGUGAAAUGCGUAGAGAUCAGGCGGAACACCCGUAGCGAAGGCGGCCAGCUGGGCCGUCCCUGACACUGAGGCGCGAAGGCGUGGGGAGCGAACGGG